UACGAAGGGGGCUAGCGUUGCUCGGAAUUACUGGGCGUAAAGGGCGCGUAGGCGGGUCGUUAAGUAGGGGGUGAAAGCCCAGGGCUCAACCCUGGAAUUGCCUUCUAAACUGGCGGCCUUGAGUAUGGCAGAGGUGUGUGGAACUCCGAGUGUAGAGGUGAAAUUCGUAGAUAUUCGGAAGAACCCCAGUGGCGAAGGCGCCCCACUGGGCCAUUACUGACGCUGAGGCGCGAUAGCGUGGGGAGCAAACAGG
rnacentral:rRNA from 1 species